rnacentral:lncRNA from 1 species
UUCCCUAUCAAUCCAUGGAUAGUUACCAAGAGGAAGGCAUGAUGCUACCCAACCUUAUUAUCCUGUAAUGACUGUCAAGCCCCCCAAGAAAGUCUGUGCAGAGGUCACUGAUGCUCCCUGUCUUUCAUUGUGUCAGAUUGCACCAUUUGAAAACACCUGCAGAACAGCAUAGAAACAUCAGGAGCUUGAGCUUGCUGGUAACUGGUGGCUACAAAAUGAAGGCUCCUUUACAAUCCAGGGUAUCAGAGAAUCUAAUAUUGGAGACUAAUUCACACCAACAUGUGAGUUUACCCCUCCCACAAGUUAGUUGUAUUUUAAAAGUUGACCAAGUAAGAAGGAACCUGAUGAGUGCAGAUGGUGGUUUAGGCUCCAGUCAGACCAAGGGGAAUGCAGUUUCUACAUUAUCGUGCAGUGUAGAAAUGUCUGUGUUUUUAGCUGGGCUCUCAGCUCCCUGCUACUGUCUAACUUUCUGUUUAUUCAUUCACAGAAAUCUUAAAGAAAUGAUCUUUUACAAAGCUAUAUAUUGAAAGGGAAACUAAGGAGUGUCCCUGGAGGCAUGAGCUGGGCGUCCUUCUGUCUCAUAUCCUUUGGCAUGGAGUUAUUUGUGGGUUCAGGGAGGCAGCAUUUCCUUUUUACAAACAGAAAACAAUUCCAGUCAUGCAGAGUCCAUCCCACUCCAAAGGAUAGGGUCAAAAAUACAUCUCUGUUAGUAACCGUGAUAGAUAUUUUACAAAACAUAUCCACACCACUUGGCAAUGUGACUUUCCUAUCAGGAAGUGGGGUCAACAUCCUCAUCAUUGGAAUCUGGGCUGGCAAUGUGACUUGCUUUAGCCAAUAGAAUGUAGAAGAAAUGACAAUAUGCCAGUUCUAAGCCUAGCCCUUCAGAAGGCCUCACAAGCUUCCAGUCCUCUUGGAAUCCUGAGCAGCCAUGAACAAACUGGACUAGUGUGCUGGAAGAUGAGAGACCACAUAGAGAGAGACAGCCUGAUGCAGCUGAGGUCAUGAGACUGGCCAGACCAGCAGCUUUCACAUGAGCAAGUCCAGUUGAGACCAGAAGAACCACACAGCCGAAUCAGCCCAAAUUGCCCACAUUCAAAAUCAUGAGCUAAGUGAAUUGUUGUCUUAAACCACUGUUUUUAGGUGCAUUUAGGUGCAUUACACAGGGUAGUAACUGAGCAAACAUUGUUCAAUCUUUCCUCUUGCCCAUAGAAAUGGGUGCCAAACACAUCUGCAUACAUUUGGCCUUGUAUCUCUGACCCGAACCUAAUUUCCACUAUCAUGUGAAAGAGCUCUCCUACCAGAGACUGCAAACUGGUUGCCUAAAGGGUCUAGGGAGGAAUCUAAAUGAGUGAGCUAAGGGAUCCCUGGGUGGUGCAGUGUUUUAGCGCCUGCCUUUGGCCCAGGGCGCGAUCCUGGAGACCCGGGAUCAAAUCCCACAUCGGGCUCCUGGUGCAUGGAGCCUGCUUCUCCCUCUGCCUGUGUCUCUGCCUCUCUCUCUCUCUCUGUGUGUGUGACUAUCAUAAAUAAA